rnacentral:rRNA from 1 species
CAGGGAACUGAAACAUCUAAGUACCUGGAGGAAGAGAAAGAAAAAUCGAUUUCCUGAGUAGCGGCGAGCGAAACGGAAAGAGCCCAAACCAAGAAGCUUGCUUCUUGGGGUUGUAGGACACUCUAUAUGGAGUUACAAAAGAAAGUUAUAAAUGAAGCGGUCUGGAAAGGCCCGCCAAAGACGGUAACAGCCCGGUAGUUGAAAUGGCUUUCCCUCCAGAGUGGAUCCUGAGUACGGCGGAACACGUGAAAUUCCGUCGGAAUCCGGGAGGACCAUCUCCCAAGGCUAAAUACUCCCUAGUGACCGAUAGUGAACCAGUACCGUGAGGGAAAG